rnacentral:lncRNA from 1 species
GUGAUCCAUUGCUAAACUGGCUUUGUUAAAACAAUUAAUUGGAAAGCUAUCAUGGUUAGCAGAUCUGAAUUCCUGAGUUCUUAGGUUAGCAACCCCAAACCGAAGUCGGCGUGAAUGGUCAUCACCUAGGAAAACAAACCGUCAGCUCAACCAAUCAGGAACUGCCAACUAGACUGUACCUAAGGUCUUUCCACGUUGACCAAUCAUGUGUUUUCUUUGUCUUGCUUCUGAGAACACCUUGUGAAAGCUGCCCGCCGGGUCUCCAUGGACCCCAAACCACCUGGGAUCUAGCACUGCCCAAUCUGUGAAUUGUUGUUGGGUGAAAACAACUCAUCAACGUCUGUAUGUGCUUUUAUUCUGUAGCAGUUCCC